UUCCAUUUUAGCAUUCAUGAAAUGUGUACUUUUAACUUUUGCUCUGUGGUCUUUUGUUCCGUAUAAUCCACAAUGUCUACCUCAACUUCCACCUUCACCCAGCCACUUGCAGCCAUUUCAGUUCCUUCCAGCCUAUUGUAAGACAGUUACCUGUCCACCCACGGCCUUCCAGUUCUUCCAGCACUCGUCCCUCUGCUUUCAGGUGUCAGGUAUUUCCUCUUUUCCACCCCAAUCCAAUAUUCUAUCCACCACCCACACCUAUAUGUGUAUUAACUCUGUUAUUGACUUCCAGGACAGUUUAACAAGCCCAGCCCAGCCUGGACAUGCUGACUGCCCCAAGCUCAAGCUUCUGCUAAAGCUGUUCUAUGAUAUUGCCCAGGAACUGAAGUCUUGACCCGGGCAGCGACUACGAAGACUUUACAAACUCUGAAUUGACAGCCUGGCCACAGUAUGUCCUUGCGACAAGACAUCAUCCCCUCUGACUGGAAAAUGAUUACGUAACACUAUUUUUUAAGAAUUACCGGCCCAUUAGUCUAACUUCAGUAGUAGAUAAGUUACUCGAGAGCAAAUUAAAAUAAAUUGUGACUUACCUUGAAAGCCACUCAUUUAUUAAGAAUUCUCAACAUGGCUUCUGUAACAAGAAAUCAUGUUUGUUAAACCUAUUUAACCUUUUAUAACGACUCUUUCUCAGCUUAUAAAGUAACCAAGUCACUGGACGUAGUCUAUCUUGAUUUUCAGAAAGCAUUUGAUAAGUUCCACACCAUAAAUUACUUUAUUUUAUAAAGCACCCAUGGUAAAGUAUGCCAAUGGAUCGCAUAUUGGUUGAGCAACAGACAGCAAAGAGUAACGAUAGAUGGAUUUAAGUCAGAGUGGGCGCCCGUCACUAUAGGUGUCCCUCACGGCUCGGUUCUUGGCCUAGUUAUAUCAAUGACGUUGACGUUAGACUCGGUAAUCUUAUUAGUAAAUCUGAUGACACAGAUUGGUAGUUAUGUCCUCAUUGAUGAAGACAAAGCCUCCAAGAAGAUUGCAUAAAAUGUCAAGUUCUCCAUUUGCUUAAUGUAGAUACGUGUUAGGGCCUCCAAAUUGGUACAAAAAAUAAAGUUUGAUUAUGAAAGCGUGGCGUUGAUCUCAAAUUCUCACAGCAAUGCACUGAUGCAACGAAAUGAAUAAAAUGAUUGGCUUCAUGAAGAGAAACUUUUCUUUGUUACAAAUAAAGAUGUAAUACUUACAA